GAUGAACGCUGGCGGCGCACAUAAGACAUGCAAGUCGAACGAACUUAAUCGAAAGUUUACUUUUGAAGCGGUUAGUGGCGGACUGGUGAGUAACACGUAAGCAACCUGCCUACCAGGGGGGAAUAACAGUGAGAAAUCAUUGCUAAUACCGCAUAUGCUCACAGUAUCGCAUGAUACAGUGAGGAAAGGAGUAAUCCACUGAUAGAUGGGCUUGCGUCUGAUUAGAUAGUUGGUGGGGUAACGGCCUACCAAGUCGACGAUCAGUAGCCGGACUGAGAGGUUGAACGGCCACAUUGGGACUGAGAUACGGCCAGACUCCUACGGGAGGCAGCAGUCGGGAAUAUUGCGCAAUGGAGGAAACUCUGACGCAGUGACGCCGCGUGCAGGAAGAAGGUUUUCGGAUUGUAAACUGCUUUAGUCAAGGAAGAUACAAGACAGUACUUGAAGAAUAAGCACCGGCUAACUAUGUGCCAGCCGCCGCCGUAAGAC
rnacentral:rRNA from 1 species